rnacentral:lncRNA from 1 species
GGGCAAAGAGCAUCUGUUCCCUCCAUUCUCCUAGCUCCAUCGGCUGCCAACCUAAGGCCAUCGCCUGCCUCCAUCACCCCUUCGCCUGCCUGCCUACCACCCAAUCCCAAAUGGGUGCUGGAUCAGGUCCUCCUUCUCAUCACUUCUUAGGCAUGGAGAGAUGAAGGACAGAUGGAGAGAUGAAGGACAGAUGGAGUACCGCACAAGGAUACAAUGGAGGAAGCAGGCCAUGACUAAGACCCCAAGGAUGAAGAAUGGAGAGCCCUGACCGUCCUCCUGGCCUCCAGUCAUUUCCCCACUGAAGAUGGCCGUACCCUCUAGCCUGGGAGGACCAUGACCCAACAAUGGCAGUGGGAGAGAAGAUGACUCUCUGGAGGACACUCUCCGUUAUCUGUGAUGACAUACACCAGCCCCCGAACAAUUUAACCUCAAGCUGCCCUCUGCAAGACUUCGGUAGCACUGGACUUCCCUCAUUCCUGGUAGGCAGAGGUUGUUAGCCAUCAGUCUGGAAGAUCUGAAGGAACAUUUGGCUUUGGGUAAAGUCAAAGGGGACGGCUCUCAGAGAUAAGGCCAGUUCAUGGGAAGUCAGGAGGGCUUUGCUACCUGCGCAGGGCACAGCUGCCCUGGGCUGGGGGAGUUCUGAUGUCAACAUCUCUGGAGGCGGAUGACAACUUCAGAAGAAGCAAAAUUUCCCCAGGAGAAAAGAAAACAGGAGGUCUUCAGUCAACAUGGAGUUUGAAGCUGCCCAUGGCUGAAGCUCAGAAUACUCUGGAGAGCUGAGAGUCCUUCUUCAGCGGCUGGGCCGUUCUGCAGCAGCUGCAGCCGCCUCUGGGCCUGGGCGUCCCGGUGGGCAGGCGUGCGUAGGUGUUGCAGCAAGGCUAGGCGGGAGGGCGUGUCCCAGGCGCACAACAGGCAGUGGUAAAGCCCCGGCUCCGGCCCUGCCUCUGCUCCCUCCAUUUCCAGCAGAAACUAGAAGCAUGGAAGAGGCCAGCUCAGAUGUAGAAGGCACACCUCCAGACCUCUGGGGACUGUUCCUCCUCGCUUAGACUCUUUCAUGCCUGGGUGGCCUCCCUCCACCCUGCUAUGGCUUCCCAUCCGCUUCUCCUCUCCAUUUCCUUCUUUCUCCCAUCAGUCCUGGGUCCCCCAGUGUGUGGCUGGGAGCUGCUUCUGUCCUGGAUACCAUGAUGGCUGGACUGAGAUGGCCUCAUCCCUAUAGCAUGCGUGCUAGAACAGCUAAAUCAAGUCUGUUUCUCCUCCUCGGAGCCCACUGC